rnacentral:rRNA from 2 species
GGCGUCGAGCGGCGGACGGGUGAGUAAUGCUUAGGAAUCUGCCCAGUAGUGGGGGAUAGCCCGGGGAAACUCGGAUUAAUACCGCAUACGCCCUUUUGGGGAAAGCAGGGGAUCUUCGGACCUUGCGCUAUUGGAUGAGCCUAAGUCGGAUUAGCUUGUUGGUGAGGUAAAGGCUCACCAAGGCAACGAUCCGUAGCUGGUCUGAGAGGAUGAUCAGCCACAUCGGGACUGAGACACGGCCCGAACUCCUACGGGAGGCAGCAGUGGGGAAUAUUGGACAAUGGGGGCAACCCUGAUCCAGCCAUGCCGCGUGUGUGAAGAAGGCUUUCGGGUUGUAAAGCACUUUCAGUGAGGAGGAAGGCUUUCAGACUAAUACUCUGGAGGAUUGACGUCACUCACAGAAGAAGCACCGGCUAACUCCGUGCCAGCAGCCGCGGUAAUACGGAGGGUGCAAGCGUUAAUCGGAAUUACUGGGCGUAAAGCGCGCGUAGGUGGUUGAGUAAGCGAGAUGUGAAAGCCCCGGGCUUAACCUGGGAACGGCACUUCGAACUGCUCGGCUAGAGUGUGGUAGAGGGUAGUGGAAUUUCCUGUGUAGCGGUGAAAUGCGUAGA